rnacentral:lncRNA from 1 species
GGGGGAAACUUCACUGCACUAAGACGGAGCUUCGAAUGGUCAAGCUAUGAAAAUGUAUUUUCAAUGUUAACUUUUACCGCGAAUGACCAGUCCGUGCUAUCAUACAAAGAACUUUAAACUCUUAACUUUGUUAAGAUGACUUAUUGUUAUGCUAAAAUAAUUUAAAUAUUAUUGUAAACAUAAACACAUGUUCCCAAUAUAACAACAAACCCAUGUGCUAUCGAUAGUUAAUAAAUACAUUUAUUUCUUAUUCGUGCCCUCAAACGCAAAUAAAGUAUUUAUGAACAAAAACUCAAACACAUAUCUAUGGGAAACAGCUCGCCUAGACGAGUGCAGCAAAGUUUCGAACAAAACAAAGGAUGGGCCAAAAAUGGACACAUUGAUUAUAUAUCAAACACCAAGAUUUUUUGUAACUGACAACCUUUCUUCUAAAUUUUCUUUAACAUAGCCAUCUUUAGCACGA